rnacentral:lncRNA from 1 species
UUUUAAGAUUGUUGUUUUUUGCUUUUACACGUGUUCAAACUUCAAAGCCAAAUCCUAUAUGUGGAUUGUGGAGUAUUUGUAUUUGUAUUUCUUUUGCUUUUUUCCCAUUAGUCUUCGCUCUCCAGUUCAAAUCGCAACGGCGCAGCGGAAGGUAGGUAAUCAUUUUAUGCUAUUCAUGAUUCUUAUUUUUGUGAUAAUUUUCGUUGAUAAUUGAUUAGAUUAUUCAUACGCAAUUUGUAUACCCUGCUUUCUAAAGGAAAAAAUUCAAUAAAUAGAAUUAGGGCUUCUAAUUUGGGGAUGUUCUUACUCUGAAUCAGUAUUAUGUAAAAUCUGCAGUGUUGAUGGAGCAGCGGUGGUGCCGUGGUGGUGACUGGUGAGGAUCGUCGCCGGUCGUCGUUGGAGUUGGGCCGGCAAGAGGCGGCGUUGGUGUUGCUAAUUGCGAAGAGAAAGAGAGCAAAAUUUCAGUGAACCGAUGAAAUGAAAGGAAAACUAGGAUUGCAGCUAAAAUAAUAUUGUUUAUUUAUUU